rnacentral:rRNA from 1 species
UACGGAAGGUCCGGGCGUUAUCCGGAUUUAUUGGGUUUAAAGGGAGCGUAGGCCGGCUUUUAAGUCAGAUGUGAAAUCCCGCGGCUCAACCGCGGAACUGCAUUUGAAACUGUCAGUCUUGAGUACCGGAGAGGUCAUCGGAAUUCCUAGUGUAGCGGUGAAAUGCGUAGAUAUUAGGAAGAACACCAGUGGCGAAGGCGGAUGACUGGACGACAACUGACGGUGAGGCGCGAAAGCGUGGGGAGCAAACAGG